rnacentral:piRNA from 1 species
CACACUUAACCAGAUCCCAAGAGAACUCACU